CCUACGGGAGGCAGCAGUGGGGAAGUAUUGGACAAUGGGCGAAAGCCUGAUCCAGCAAUGCCGCGUGAGUGAUGAAGGCCUUAGGGUUGUAAAGCUCUUUUACCUAGGGAUGAUAAUGACAGUACCUGGAGAAUAAGCUCCGGCUAACUCCGUGCCAGCAGCCGCGGUAAUACGGAGGGAGCUAGCGUUGUUCGGAAUUACUGGGCGUAAAGCGUACGUAGGCGGUUAUUCAAGUCAGAGGUGAAAGCCCGGGGCUCAACCCCGGAACGGCCUUUGAAACUAGAUAGCUAGAAUCUUGGAGAGGUUAGUGGAAUUCCGAGUGUAGAGGUGAAAUUCGUAGAUAUUCGGAAGAACACCAGUGGCGAAGGCGACUAACUGGACAAGUAUUGACGCUGAGGUACGAAAGCGUGGGGAGCAAACAGGAUUAGAUACCCUGGUAGUCCACGCCGUAAACGAUGAUAACUAGCUGUUCGGGCACUUGGUGCUUGAGUGGCGCGAGCUACGACAUUAAGUUAUUCCGUCCGUCGGGUAGGUACGGUCGGUCGAGAGUAAACUAACGAAAGAAAGUAGUACGGCGUGUAAGUACGUGCGACGACGACGACGAGGGAGGAGG
rnacentral:rRNA from 1 species